AUGGCCACAUCAUGUUGAAACACUGGUUUUCAUACGAUCACCAAAGUUAAGCAACAUUGAGCUUGGUCAGUACCUAGAUAGGUGACCACUUGGGGAUACCAAGUGCUGUA